rnacentral:rRNA from 1 species
ACUAGGCCUUUAAUAAGGGUCUUGAAUGAAUGAGUUGACGAUUUUUAAGCUGUCCUAGCUUUGGUUUUGGAAAUUUAUCUUUAAGUUAAAAAGCUUAACUCUCUAGAAAGACGAUAAGACCCUAUAAAGCUUUACUAAUAUAAUUAAUAGAGAGAGAAAGAUUUUGUAGAGUUAGUUUAGCUGGGGCGGCAAUAAAAAUUCUUUUAUAGAUUUAACAGAAUUUUUGAGGUGGUGUAUCUAAAAAGAGAUAGAAUAAGCUACUUUAGGGAUAACAGCGCAAUAUUUUUAAAGAGAUCUUAUCGAUAAAAAGGACUUGCGACCUCGAUGUUGAAUUGAGGGGCCUAAAUUAAGUAAAAAUAAUUUAAGG